rnacentral:rRNA from 1 species
GAUGAACGCUGGCGGCGUGCCUAAUACAUGCAAGUCGAGCGAACAGACGAGGAGCUUGCUCCUCUGACGUUAGCGGCGGACGGGUGAGUAACACGUGGAUAACCUACCUAUAAGACUGGGAUAACUUCGGGAAACCGGAGCUAAUACCGGAUAAUAUAUUGAACCGCAUGGUUCAAUAGUGAAAGACGGUUUUGCUGUCACUUAUAGAUGGAUCCGCGCCGCAUUAGCUAGUUGGUAAGGUAACGGCUUACCAAGGCAACGAUGCGUAGCCGACCUGAGAGGGCGCCCGGCCACACGGGAGCGGACACACGGUCCAGACUCCGACGGGAGGCGGAAGUGGGAAAUCUUCCGCAAUGGGAGAAAGUUGGACGGGACAACGCCGGGUGAGUAAUGAAGUUGUUCGGAUCGAAAAACUCUUUUAUGGGGAAAAAAAAAAUGUGAAAGUAACUAUGCCCGUCUUGACGGUCCCUAAUAAAAAACCCAGGCCAAACUACGUG